rnacentral:rRNA from 1 species
CCUAUCAGCUUUCGACGGUAUGGUAUUGGCUUACCGUGGCAGUGACGGUUAACGGGGGAUUAGGGUUCGAUUCCGGAGAGGGAGCCUGAGAAACGGCUACCACAUCUAAGGAAGGCAGCAGGCGCGCAAAUUACCCAAUUCUAACAGUUUGAGAGAGGUAGUAACAAGAAAUAACAAUACAAGGCAGUUAAAAUGCUUUGUAAUUGGAAUGAUAGAAAUUUAAACCCUUUUUAAAGUAUCAAUUGGAGGGCAAGUCUGGUGCCAGCAGCCGCGGUAAUUCCAGCUCCAAUAGCGUAUAUUAAAAUUGUUGCAGUUAAAAAGCUCGUAGUUGAAGUUCUGCUAAAAGUAACCGGUCUGCUUUUAAUAAAAGUGGUAUCUUGGUAUGUAUUUAGCAAUGAUGUCCUUUGAAGUGUUUUUUACUUUAUUGUAAUAAAGCAUAUUCAGGACUUUUACUUUGAGAAAAUUAGAGUGUUUCUAGCAGGCUGACGCUUUGAAUACUGCAGCAUGGAAUAAUAAGAUAGGAUUUUAGUUCUACAUUAUUGGUUUUAAGAGCUAAAUUAAUGAUUGAUAGGGACAGUUGGGGGCAUUUGUAUUUAACUGUCAGAGGUGAA